UUAACCUGCUAAAUAGUCAUGCCAAUCCUGCUAUUCAAAACCAGGGGGUGAGCGCGGUGCGGUCGGCUCCAGCCUUCGGGUUGGGGUCGGUUCGUGCCCCUUGCCUCUUGGCGGUUGGAUUGGUAGAAGUACUUCUUAGAGGGACAAUCGGUGAUUAGCCGAGGGAAGUUUGAG
rnacentral:rRNA from 1 species